GAACAAAACUCCUUUUGUCAGUGGAGCGAGGGGGUCCCCGUGAGCAUGAGGCAGAUUCUUACUUCCUCCCUUGUCUUUAGUUGGAGAAAGAAAAAAAAAAAAAAAAGAGCCACAAGGAAUCCUAACGGAGGUUCUCCAGCCUCUGAGAUCGGGCACUACUGAGGCUGAAAGAGCCGCUGCAACGGAGCGUCUGCACCCCAGGGAUGCGCCCAGGUGAGCUCCGCGCUUCCGGGGCUCUCUGUUCCUUGAGAGGCAUGGAGGACUGUGCUCCGGUGGCUGGGAGAAGGAAGACCAUGCCAGCCCCACGCACGCGCUUCACCUCGCCCACAAGGAUAGGCCGUACGUAGUGUUCACACG
ensembl:processed_transcript